CCUACGUGUGGCAGCAGUGGGGAAUAUUGCACAAUGGGGGAAACCCUGAUGCAGCGACGCCGCGUGAGUGAAGAAGUAUUUCGGUAUGUAAAGCUCUAUCAGCAGGGAAGAAAAUGACGGUACCUGACUAAGAAGCCCCGGCUAACUACGUGCCAGCAGCCGCGGUAAUACGUAGGGGGCAAGCGUUAUCCGGAUUUACUGGGUGUAAAGGGAGCGUAGACGGCCAGACAAGUCAGAAGUGAAAGCCCAGGGCGCAACCCUGGGACUGCUUUUGAAACUGCCGGGCUGGAGUGCAGGAGAGGUAAGCGGAAUUCCUAGUGUAGCGGUGAAAUGCGUAGAUAUUAGGAGGAACACCAGUGGCGAAGGCGGCUUACUGGACUGUAACUGACGUUGAGGCUCGAAAGCGUGGGGAGCAAACAGGAUUAGAUACCCCAGUAGUC
rnacentral:rRNA from 1 species